rnacentral:rRNA from 1 species
AUUGAACGCUGGCGGCAGGCCUAACACAUGCAAGUCGAACGAGUGGCGGACGGGUGAGUAAUGUCUGGGAAACUGCCCGAAGGAGGGGGGUAACUACUGGAAACGGUAGCUAAAACCGCAUACCAUCGGAUGUCCCGAGAGGGGAUUGGCUGGUAGGGGAGGUAACGGGUCACAUAGGCGACGAUCCCUAGCUGGUCGUAGAGGAUGACCAGCCACACGGGAACUGAGACACGGUCCAGACGCCUACGGUAGGCAGCAGUGGGGAAUAUUGGACAAUGGGCGAAAGCCUGAUGCAGCGAUGCCGCGGGUAUGAAGAAGGUUUUCGGGUUGUAAAGUACUUUCAGCGGGGAGGCGUUACCCGCAGAAGAAGCAACGGCUAACUCCGUGCCAGCAGCCGCGGUAAUAC